rnacentral:rRNA from 1 species
UGAAACAGCCGUAUCACCCUGCAGCCCAAGACUGGUUGCCCACUGAAGCUAAGCAGGGUUGAGCCUGGUCAGUACCUGGAUGGGAGACCUCCUGGGAAAACUAGGUUGCUGCUGGAA